UACCCCACUAUGCUCAGCCAUAAACUUAGACGUUAUAAUACAAUAAACGUCCGCCAGGGUACUACGAGCAUUAGCUUAAAACCCAAAGGACUUGGCGGUGCCUUAGACCCCCCUAGAGGAGCCUGUUCUAAAACCGAUAACCCCCGUUAAACCUCACCACUUCUGGUCAUCCCCGCCUAUAUACCGCCGUCGUCAGCUUACCCUAUGAAGGACUAAUAGUAAGCAAAGUGAAUACAAUUCAAAACGUCAGGUCGAGGUGUAGCGAACGAAGUGGGAAGAAAUGGGCUACAUUUUCUUUAAUAAGAAUAUUACGAACAACACUAUGAUAAACUAGUGCUCGAAGGAGGAUUUAGUAGUAAAAAGGAAAUAGAGUGUCCUUUGAACCCGGCUCUGAG
rnacentral:rRNA from 1 species